GUUAGUCUUUGUCGCACUCUUCUUCUUCUACUUUCCAAACUGAAACAUUUUUUUUUCAAUUCAUAGGCUUCUCUCUUCCCCAUUUUCAACACGAAUCGACGAUCCCUACCACUUAAUUUUUUAUCAUCGCUAUCAAUUUUCAACUAUAAAUAGUUAAUCAAACGGGUCUCCACUAUAUAUAUUGUUUUUAUUUUGAGUUCGUUUUUCUUGAUUUGGGUAUGUUUUGUUAUGUGUUUUUCA
rnacentral:lncRNA from 1 species